UUUGAAAUUUGUAUUAAAAUAAAAAUAAAAAUAAAAAAUUUAAGUUUGCCGCCACUAAAAUUCUUCCCGCUGCCUCAAAUAUUUGAUCAUCCUGCCCAUAUCCCUAAAAUUGUGGAGCCUCUACAUGCUACUCUUUUACUACCUCCAGCGAUGAAACUCCAAUAAACCUAAAAGAUCUAAAAUUUCACGGCUUCUCUUCCAUCGCCCAUCACUCUCUCUCUCUCUCUCUCUCGUAAUUCUCCUUUUUUUCCUCUUAUUCUGUCUCAGCACGUCUUAUUCUUCUAUAUCCUCUUGGUCUUUCUUUACAGGUUUGCCUCCAUUCCAGAUCUGUUCGGACACAAAAAUUGAAAGAAGUUUGGCAGUUGGGCAAUAGUACAAGAGCCUUGCAUCGAUUCUAUGAUUGGUCUUGUUUAGGAUUUGAGGUUUCUGUUUGGGAUUUCUGUCAAUCAUAUAUUUGCGAGAGAAUCACCGUUUUCGGGUAAAUCUACUAAUGGAGAUUUCGAAGCAAAUGCACCUUGAUCCUUAGCUGCUAGCCACUAGUUAUAAGGUAUUCGAAGAAACCUUAUCUAUCUAUAUGAGGCAACAAAAUAUUAAUAAUGUGCGAGUAGUUUAGAAUUAAUGGUUUUAUUACUUGCAGUAUUAAUAAUGUGCAACAAAGUAUCUGAGAGCAUUAUAUAUGGUCAAUGACUUUAGCUUAUGAUAUGAUAGCACUGACCCAUUUUAUAUGUACUGUUGAACAUGCUGUAUUUGUUUUCUUUUUCAUACCUCCUGUGAGAUAUUAUAGUAAUUUGCAACAUGUUGGAUUGGCUUGGACGGCUGUGAUGGAGUGCUUGGGGUUCCCUUAGCAAUUUCGCCCUAUUGGGCCAGCUGGGCCUGGGGCUGUUUGGAGGGUUUGUGGUAUGGCUGGAAGUGGGUGGGCUGGGUCCUACAACUUCUGGCUUGGACUCUGUCUGCUAGGGAUUGGGGCUGGAUUACCCUCUUGCUAGGGGAUUGGAUGUUGUGGGUCUCUAUGGCCCAUAGUGCCGUUUAAUUUUUGUUUGGGUCGCAAAAACCAGUGCCUUAGUUGGAUUUUUUGUAAGCUUCGAGGUUUCUAGGUUUUUGUUAGAAUAAAAGUGCGUGAAUUUACCAAAAGGUGGGUGUACUAGGGAUUUCUGGGAUUUUAUUCUGCUAGAAUAGGGUUCAUGAGGUUCUAAGGAACGAUUCUUUCUGUCGACCCCAUAGGGGUGUUUCGUUUUUGUACUGCUUGCUGAAUAUUAAUGAAAGGGCUGACCUAUUACCAUAAAAAAAAAAAGUGGAGAUUGUAGUUACUAACUUCAGUAGGUAUUGGGCUUUUAAGUGGCAAUUAGUUUGCUUAGACAUGUUUAACAAAUGUAAUCUUUUAUUAUUUGUUUUUAGGUUAGUAUUUUCUCUCGUACUAUUCUAAUGUCAUGGAUGAUGUUAUUUUAUCUAUGUAUUAAGACUAUGUAGUUUGCAUUCUAUAAAUUAUUCAA